UCUAAAACUCGUGAUAUGGGUUGAACACUGAGCAGUGUAUGGGAUGCAGGAUAGAUUUUGACUUUUCUGUUGUUGCUACAAUUUGAACUUGAAAACGGUCCUUUUGAAUCUUAGACUCUUCAUGAAAGUUUUAGGCCUAUGUCUUAGAUUUCUAUC
rfam:Populus trichocarpa scaffold_18_contig_96, whole genome shotgun sequence.